UCCAGCGACAACAGAGAACCUCCUGAGAGGUUCGGUAGAAUCUCCUUGUCAGGGGAUUCGGGUUUCGGUCCCACCCCUGAGAGGGAGUCCUCCCACACUCAAGCCCUUCCUUUUCUUCCCUCUCCCCUGGUUCUCUCCUGAGCCCGCCCUUUGCCCUAGUUUCUCCUCUUAGGGGUGGGGGUUGGGGGGAAUGGAGCUGGGCUUGCCAGUAGGGUUGUCAUAUUUAGCAGUAAAAAUACAGGAUGCUAGUUCAAAUUUAAAUUUCACAUAAACAAUACAUAAUUCUUUAGUAUAAUAUGUGUCCGAUAUCAAAUAAAAUUAAAAUAUAAAAACAUCAUUUGUUAACUGUCUGAAAUUUAACUGGGCAUCCUGUUUUUUACCUGACAAUCCUAGGCAAAAAUAGCAUUUAUGUACCUCCUAUUUACGGUAUCCUUUCAUAGCACUCCCAGUAUGGGGAGUGUUAUAAUCCAUGUUCUGAUGAACCCCAAAGGGUCUUGCUCAAGGUUAUGCAACUAGUAAGUAACCAGGCUGGGAUACCUUAAAAGCCCAUUUCAAUUCUGCUAUCUCUCGUCAGGUGUGCAAUUCAAGGAAAGACUCCUGGAGAGCUCGUCCAAUUGUUAGAAUGAAUCUCCUUAAUAAAAGCCAAUUUAUCUUUCAGAGGGGCUAUAGAGUUGUUUUAUAUUCAGGUUCUCUGCUGUGGCAUUUACCUUAUAUUUGGGGGAAGAAACUGUAUUAAACUGUCAAGGAAUAUUGAUUUACUAUAUGAUGAUGAAAGUAUAUUUUAUAUUAUUAAAUCACAAUAGCAUAUCAUUUGACUUUGACAUCAGUGAACAAGGUUAUGUUCAUACAGUAGACCCAUACAUCUCUGUAAACAUAGUGAUUAAGGCAGUAUAGGGUAUUCUGAAAUGAGACAUACCUCGGUUCAAAGCCUAGCUUCACGAACACUUUGAUGCAGUAGGUAAGUUACAGAAUCUCUCUGGGCCUCUGUUUGCUCUUUUUAAAAAAGAAAUAGUAAUUAUAACCACUUCGUAGGGUUGUUGUACUAAAUUCUUAUCAAGUGCCUGGAACAUUUAAAUUAAUUAAUUUUAGCUAUGAUUUGCCAUUAUACUUUGAGUAUAAUGUGGAUUUUGGCAUAAAUCAUUAGAUAAUUAAAUGUUUUAAUUUUAGUUUUAAGUUGAAAAAAGCCAGUAAUUAAGAAUAUUAUGAAUAUUGUGAAUUUCAGUGAAAUGUACUAUUCAAUAAUAAAAGAGAUAUUUUAGAUAAUAUACCAGUUUCACUAAAUCAACUAUCUGUAAGCCAAGUUAAUAGAAUAAAAUAUUUGUAUAUCAGUCUCAGUAAUUGCUCCUCAUGUAUAAUUUUAUAUGAUUUUCAUUUUCAUUGUGUUAUAAACAGGAAGAAAACUUACCAAGCACCAAAGGAGAGAAAAUAACUACAGGGUGAGGGGUAAAGCCAGAAAAUAGGUCUAUGAUCAGUGGCUGUUUAUGGUGAGGUAGACUUAGUAUGUUUUAAAAACCAAAUGUCAAGCUUUGUAGGAAUUUUAUAUUUCUUUGUAUAUUGUCUUAUUUCCUUAGUGUUUACAGUGUUAACUUAGUUCACUUACAAACUAUUCUCUAAAAUUCCUCUUGGGAACUUUUUUCAGUUUUUCUCUAAAAAACUACAAAAGCUUUCUACUACCUUGAAGGGAAUGUGGAAUUGUGAAAAUUGAAAUUAACAACUAUGGACUAUUAUCCAAAUAAUUGUAAACAAGUCACUGAACACAUCUGAGCCUUGCUUUAUCUCUACAAUCAAAACAAAUGAAAACCUACCCCACCAUCCCCAAGGUUUAUAAAUGCUACCGAUUACUGUAACUCUUAUCCACCCGAAAAAAUUCCUCCAUGGAUGAAUCCAACUAUUUGGAUUUUUUGUUCCUGCUGCAGGCUUCCCAGAAGAGCUGGAGAAACUUUCACACUGGAAAGACUUGGUACUAAAAUAAAUUCAUGGUAGUCACCUUCACCUGGACUUUCACACCGCACAGCAGGCCCACUGUGUUUCUCUAACCACUCAUUCUUCCUUUUUAUGCAAUUGCGGUUUCAAAUCCUCUUCACUUCUUUCAAGCUUCUGACAUCCUUUGAAAGCCAUUCUCACUAAGUGACCUCUGUGUUAUUGAGAAAAUUGAGUACCUGAGCUUCUGAAUUUCCUGCUGGAAAAUCUGCCCACUGACCUUCAUCUGCAUCCAUCCAGCUUUCACUGAAUCCUAGUACCUUUGCCUGUGUUCUGAAUUCUUCCUUACUAUCUCAGGGACCUUUAUCAUCAGUUAUCCCUUAUGUCACCUGGAUGGUCAGCCACUGCCUCUAAAUCCUUCCCAUCCGCAUGUAAAUAUUCAUUCCUGCAGUCCCUUCUUCAGGGAACAGUUGUCAGUUACCAUUCUUCCACCCAUCUAAUACUCGAUUUCUUCUCCCAUUUGUAAUCAGUUUUAAAGAACCAUCUGCCCUGAUGUUUCUAUUUCUUUACUUCCCAUUCUCUUGGCAACCUGUUCCCAUUGUUCUUCCAUCCUCACCCCUCUGCUGAAACUAUUCCUGCUAAGGUCCCAAUAGUUUCCUUGUCCCUCAAUCCCAUGGACUUCUGACCUGUUAGGCAACAUUUCAUACCCUAAACCAGUGUUCGGGCAAACUGUAGCAUGUGGACCAAAUAUAGCUUCAGCAUGUUCUUAUAUGGCCUUUGAACUAAAAUAUUUUCAUCUAUCUGGCUCUUUACAGAAAAAGAUUGCCAACCCCUUCUAUAGUUCACUCCCUCCUUUUAAAAAUAAAUUCUUCUUUUCGCUCUUCCCUUAUAAGUAAGUUUUGUUUUCUUUGUACUCUUCUCUCCUUUCUUUCUCAGUCUCUCUGUGGUUACCAGACCCUUAGAUGUUGGAAUUCCUCAACACUUUAUGUUGGAAGUGGGAUCUUCUGGAUCUCAUCUACUCCCAAACUUCUACCUCACAUUUUCUUCUGAACAUCAUACAUGUGUAUUCAACUGCCUACUCAACCUCUCCACUUAAUGUGCUACAGAUAGCCCAAACUCAAUAUAUUUGAAACUGAACUCACAAUCCUGUGCUAACCCUGCCUUUCCUACAGACUGUCAUAACCCAAUAGAGUAUAAAGCUGUUGCUUAUAAAGUUAAUGUCAGAAAUCUGGGAGUCUUUGAACAUCUCUUCCUCUCCUCAUCUUGUUCCACUCACAUCUAAGUAAUCACCAAAUGCUAUUAAUUGUAUUACCUGCUUGGUUUUUAAUCUACUUCAUUCAUUCUGCCCAAUACCACCCUAAAGUCAAAAACACCAUCAUCUGGUCAAAUGCUUUAACCUAAGUAGCCUUCCUCUUUUUCUUUAAAAAAAUUUUUUUUGUAAUUGAAUAAUUCUCAUACCAUAUGGGUUACCCUAAAAUUUACAAUUUAGUAGUUCUUAGCUUAUUCAAGAUUCAAACAUUAGUGGUACAUAUCUGGUAUUUUUGCCAUAAGCAUCUUUGCUGUAGACAUUUUUGCUGCAUAGCUAAGUGGCUUUAGAGCAAUUUUGCCUUAAAACAUAAGAUAACUGGUUGACAGUUUGGUUUCAAAUGAUUGACACUUAGUUUCAUUUCUCCAUUGACACAGUUCUCCCAUUUUUAUAUUACAUAAAUCCUAGCCCUCAUAAGGAUCGACACAAUGACAAGUAGAUAUGGUAGUAUUAAAAUAGUGGAUGAAAACUGUAUAUCAACUUGAUGGGAAAUAUGGUGAUAAAACUUACCGGAACUGUUAAAUAAGAAUGUAAAGACAGAUUGCAUACUAUACCAGAAAAUGAUAACUCACAAAGCUCAGUUAUAAUUGAGUAUUUGGAAACUGAUACCUCUUUUUUUUCCUUUUUUUGUGCUUUUCAGGGCUGCACCCACGGCGUAUGGAGGUUCCCAGGCUAGGGGUCUAAUCAGAGCUAUAGCUGCCGGCCUACACCAUAGCCACAGCAACACCAGAUACGAGCCUCGUCUGCAACCUACAUCACAGUUCAUGGCAGCGCCGGAUCCUUAACCCAAUGAGCAAGGCCAGGGAUCGAACCCGCAAUCUCAUGGUUUCUAGUCGGAUUUGUUUCUGCUGUGCCACAGUGGGUACUCCUGAUACCUCUCUUAAUGAAAGAAGAAAGUUUAGUGAAAAAGAAAAGGUGCUAUGCCGAAUGAGGAGAGACAUCAACUGCAAAAUAACAAAGUAAAAUGUAUGUGUAAAAUACAUUCUCUUACAUCAUAGUACAAUUAUCAAAAUCAAGAAAUUAAUUUUGAUGUAAUAUUAUCUAAUCUGCUGACCUUAUUAAGAUUUAGCCAGUUGUCAAACUAACGUGUAUGUGUAUUUUACAAAAAAUAAAAAUAAAAGAACAGGGAGUUCCCGUCGUGGCGCAGUGGUUAAGGAAUCCGACUAGGAACCAUGAGGUUGCGGGUUCGGUCCCUGCCCUUGCUCAGUGGGUUAACGAUCCGGCGUUGCCGUGAGCUGUGGUGUAGGUUGCAGACGCGGCUCGGAUCCCGCGUUGCUGUGGCUCUGGCGUAGGCCGGUGGCUACAGCUCCGAUUCAACCCCUAGCCUGGGAACCUCCAUAUGCCGCGGGAGCGGCCCAAGAAAUAGCAACAACAACAACAACAAAAAGACAAAAAUAAAUAAAUAAAUAAAUAAAUAAAAGAACAGAACAGAAAAAAUGGGGUUUUAGUGGUCUAGAAUCUAAUUCAGUUUCACACAUUGGAUUUAGUCACCAUGUCUCUUUGGUCUGCCUCAUUCUGGAACACUUCCUCAUUCUUUGUCUUUAAUAAGACUAGAUGAUGACGGGAGUUUUGGUAUUCAUGAUGCAUCAGCAAUGGAGAGCUCUACUUGAUACUCAAAACAAGAGGAGAGGAUGGUGUCACUCACUGAGCAUGCAGUUUUGGCAUUUGGAGACUAUAUGGGAGCAACUUGUCUGUGCCUGCCUUGUGUGGAAUCAGUGCUCCCAAUGAGAUGCAAAACCUGCAGGCUGAUAGAGGAGGCAGCACACAACGUCCAGGGAGAGCAUUGAUAUGUUAAAUAGAAGAUAUCUUUUCUCUAGAAGAAAGUCUCGGCAACCCACUGUUAAGUAAGACUUUUUUUCGUUUUACAAAAUGGAUCAAGAUGCUUGUUUUGGAUGAAUUCAGUAAAAAUGUUGAGCCAAAGGAUUAAAGGUCAAAUCCAUGAGAUUUACCGGAAAUCAAAUCUGGAUUCAGGCUGUAUUGUUUUCUGCCUUAAUGCUAAUCGAUAUAUUGAAAAUCAUCAAAAAGUUCCCAAGAGAUCCAUUUCAAAUUCCGGUGAAGAAGGAAGAACUGAACUUUGAAAAGGCCAAAAUGUUACAAUAAUUUUGAAAGAGGAAUUGUUCAGAGUUGAUUUGGGAGGAAAGCAAUGGCCGUAAGUGUUGAAGAAGACAAGGAGGUUCUUUGUGAUACUGAUACUUUCUACAAUACUGCAGUGGAGGAAACGCCAGUGGGUAUGACGGACCUUAUUAAAUCCUGGGAUGAAAUGGUUUUGAAUGUGGUGCUUGCUGUUGCAGUGCAGGUGAUCAUGAUGUGCACUGUGCUUCUUUUGCAGGGGGUGGGGGGGUUGCGGGAGGAAUAUUUGAAGCUUGUUUCAAUGCUCAUAAUGGAUCAAAAAUAUAGAUUUUGCUGCAAAGCAACUUUAGUCAUGAGCUCUUUUGAGGAAAGUCAUUGCCUUUAUCCUCUUUAGAGUUAGAUUGUUGGUUGGGUCUAAGGGAUUGUGAACAUCUUCCUUAGCAAUUUAUUUCCUAGUUAUCUAAAUAAUAAUUAUAUUGAGUAUUUGUUAUCAUCUAAUAAUAUACUUACAGACUGAAAGAUAUGUGCCUUCAGUGUUUAAACUAGUGUAUCUGCCAUUAUUGUGUUAGUCAUCAGGCUGAGUAGAAUGAACUUUAAAAUUAUUUUUUAAGAAAAUAUUUGAAUUCAUUUUGUUUGGUAUCAUUUUUAUUCAGUAAGGCAUUUAUUUUGUUAGUGGUAAGUGUAAACUAGAGUCUUUUGCUAAGCACCAGCAACAAUCAUAUCCUAUGGUUAAAUCUCAGAAAAAUCGCUAUAUUGCAUAUUGAAUGUUCAGCAAAUUACAAUGAAGUAUAUUUUUCU
rnacentral:lncRNA from 1 species